CAUAUCAAUAAGCGGAGGAAAAGAAACCAACAGGGAUUACCUCAGUAACGGCGAGUGAAGCGGUAACAGCUCAAAUUUGAAAUCUGGCCUCACGGUCCGAGUUGUAAUUUGUAGAGGAUGCUUCGAGCAUGGUCUGGCCUAAGUUCCUUGGAACAGGACGUCAUAGAGGGUGAGAAUCCCGUAUGCGGCCAGGUGCCUACGCUCAUGUGAAGCUCCUUCGACGAGUCGAGUUGUUUGGGAAUGCAGCUCAAAAUGGGUGGUAAAUUUCAUCUAAAGCUAAAUAUUGGCCAGAGACCGAUAGCGCACAAGUAGAGUGAUCGAAAGAUGAAAAGCACUUUGGAAAGAGAGUUAAACAGUACGUGAAAUUGUUGAAAGGGAAGCGCUUGCAACCAGACUUGCGCGCGGCCGAUCAUCCGGUGUUCUCACCGGUGCACUCGGCCGUGCUCAGGCCAGCAUCGGUUUUGGCGGCUGGAUAAAGGCCCUAGGAAUGUAGCUCCUCUCGGGGAGUGUUAUAGCCUAGGGUGCAAUGCAGCCUGCUGGGACCGAGGACCGCGCUUCGGCUAGGAUGCUGGCGUAAUGGUUGUAAGCGGCCCGUCUUGAA
rnacentral:rRNA from 1 species